GGAUAUAUAGAAAUAACAAGCCUACAUUUCAAUACUUAUUGGAAGUAUUAUAAAAUGGCUUGCCAAUGGCGCAAAAAAUGUUUUGUAAUUGACUCAGUUGUACAACUAUCAGCUUGUUUGCGACUUUUUGGAGAAGGAGCGUAUCAAAAAGGUGUAGGCAGGCAAAUGGAUGUUGGCUUAUCACAAUCCAGCUUGAGUGAAAUCCUUUCUGAAGUGUUGGACGUAGUCGAGUCAAAUCUCUGUGGAUAACGUGGCCUACUAAAGAGGAGAUAAUAAAUAAAUUUAAAUUUUUACCAAAAAUUUUAUAUUCCUGCCAUCAUUGUAAAAAUUAUAGCUCCCACAAGUAAUAAACACUUAUACUACAAAAGAAAAGAAUUCUGCAUCAUGAAUGUUUUCCUGUAUGGGAUGAUAACUUGAAGAUAAGAUAUGUAGAUGCUACAUACCCAGGAGCCUGCAACGAUUUAUUAAUUUGGAACACCAGUCAUUUAAGAACUUUAAUGGAUCAGGAGUAUAUCGAGGGCACAAGAAACUUUUGAAUGCUAGGUGACGCUGGCUAUCCACUAGAGCCUUCGUUGCUAACACCCCACCGAUCCAUGGCAGAAGGAUCUUCAGAACGAAAAUUCAAUGAAGUACAUGCAGGAAUUAAUUUUUACAUGAAGUAAAAAUUAGUCAAAAGAAUAAAUUUUUGAGCUUCACCGAAAUGUUUACUCGUUCUUAAUAUUCUUAAGACUAACUUAUUACAUGGUUCUUAUUGCUAUUUUAACUAGUAUGUUUACUUAUUACUAAUUGAUGGAUUGUUUGGAUACAGAUGUAUAGUACUAUAUUAUUUGUUUAGGUUUGUUUACAAAUAUAUAUUUUGUUUAGAUACAUUUCCUUUGUUCUAAGAUAAGGUUGUUGUGGUAUUCAAACUCA